ACUCAAAUGAAUAGACGGGGACCCGCACAAGCGGUGGAACAUGUGGUUUAAUUCGAGGCAACGCGAAGAACCUUACCAGGAUUCGACAUGCCCUCUAUGGAUUCCCGAAAAGGAAUCCUUCACUUCGGGUGGGAGGAGCACAGGUGCUGCAUGGCUGUCGUCAGCUCGUGUCGUGAGAUGUUGGGUUAAGUCCCGCAACGAGCGCAACCCUCGUCCUCUGUUGCUAACAGGUAAUGCUGAGAACUCUGAGGAAACUGCCGGUGAUAAGCCGGAGGAAGGUGGGGAUGACGUCAAGUCCUCAUGGCCCUUACAUCCUGGGCUACACACGUGUUACAAUGGCGAUGACAAUGGGUUGCUACUCCGCGAGGAGAUGCCAAUCUCUAAAAGUCGCCUCAGUUCGGAUUGUACUCUGCAACUCGAGUACAUGAAGCUGGAAUCGCUAGUAAUCGUGGAUCAGAACGCCACGGUGAAUACGUUCCCGGGUCUUGUACACACCGCCCGU
rnacentral:rRNA from 1 species